AUCCUAACCGUGCGAAGGUAGCGUAAUCACUUGUUCUUUAAAUGCGGACUAGUAUGAACGGCACCACGAAGGUUAUACUGUCUCCUUUUUCUAAUCAGUGAAACUAAUCUCCCCGUGAAGAAGCGGGGAUAAGACUAUAAGACGAGAAGACCCUAUGGAGCUUUAAACAAUAUAGCAGUUGUCAUAUAACAUAUAGUAUUUCCGAAUCCUUAACUUCCCAGACAACAUGACUAUGAGUUUUUGGUUGGGGUGACCGCGGAGCAUAAUGUAACCUCCAUGUUGAAAGAGUUUUUCUAAGCUAAGAACUACAUGUCUAGGCAUCAACACAUUGACAUCCAUUGACCCAAUACACUUGAACAACGAACCAAGUUACCCUAGGGAUAACAGCGCAAUCCACUUCAAGAGCCCCUAUCGACAAGUGGGUUUACGACCUCGAUGUUGGAUCAGGGUCUCCCAGUGGUGCAGCC
rnacentral:rRNA from 1 species